AUUGAACGCUGGCGGCAUGCCUUACACAUGCAAGUCGAACGGUAACAGGUCUUUCGGGAUGCUGACGAGUGGCGAACGGGUGAGUAAUACAUCGGAACGUGCCUAGUAGUGGGGGAUAACUACUCGAAAGAGUGGCUAAUACCGCAUGAGAUCUAUGGAUGAAAGCAGGGGACCUUCGGGCCUUGUGCUACUAGAGCGGCCGAUGGCAGAUUAGGUAGUUGGUGAGAUAAAAGCCUACCAAGCCUACGAUCUGUAGCUGGUCUGAGAGGACGAUCAGCCACACUGGGACUGAGACACGGCCCAGACUCCUACGGGAGGCAGCAGUGGGGAAUUUUGGACAAUGGGCGCAAGCCUGAUCCAGCAAUGCCGCGUGCAGGAUGAAGGCCUUCGGGUUGUAAACUGCUUUUGUACGGAACGAAAAGUCUUGGGUUAAUACCCUGGGAUCAUGACGGUACCGUAAGAAUAAGCACCGGCUAACUACGUGCCAGCCGCCGCAGUAA
rnacentral:rRNA from 1 species